GAAAUAGAACGCUAGGGUUCCGAUCAGGCUCGCACAUAAUUGAAGAGAUAGCCUUGAUGACUGGUCCAAGAGCAUUCGACCUCCCCCUUUUCGUUAAGGCAUAGGUUACACGGCGGGACAAAAGCCCGGGAGAA
rnacentral:sRNA from 2 species